rnacentral:rRNA from 1 species
UACAGAGGGUGCAAGCGUUAAUCGGAAUUACUGGGCGUAAAGCGUGCGUAGACGGUUAUGUAAGUCAGAUGUGAAAGCCCCGGGCUCAACCUGGGAAUUGCAUUUGAGACUGCAUAGCUAGGGUGCGGAAGAGGGAAGCGGAAUUUCCGGUGUAGAGGUGAAAUUCGUAGAUAUCGGGAGGAACACCAGUGGCGAAGGCGGCGAUCUGGGAAGAUACUGACGCUGAGGUGCGAAAGCGUGGGGAGCAAACAGG